CUUCUCUGAGAGUUAGCGGCGGACGGGUGAGUAACACGUAGGCAACCUGCCUGUAAGACUGGGAUAACUACCGGAAACGGUAGCUAAUACCGGAUAGGUGAAUUUCUCGCAUGAGGAAGUCAAGAAAGACGGAGCAAUCUGUCACUUACAGAUGGGCCUGCGGCGCAUUAGCUAGUUGGUGAGGUAAGGGCUCACCAAGGCGACGAUGCGUAGCCGACCUGAGAGGGUGAACGGCCACACUGGGACUGAGACACGGCCCAGACUCCUACGGGAGGCAGCAGUAGGGAAUCUUCCGCAAUGGACGAAAGUCUGACGGAGCAACGCCGCGUGAGUGAUGAAGGUUUUCGGAUCGUAAAGCUCUGUUGCCAGGGAAGAACGUCUUAGAGAGUAACUGCUCUAAGAGUGACGGUACCUGAGAAGAAAGCCCCGGCUAACUACGUGCCAGCAGCCGCGGUAAUACGUAGGGGGCAAGCGUUGUCCGGAAUUAUUGGGCGUAAAGCGCGCGCAGGCGGCUAUGUAAGUCUGGUGUAUAACCUCAGGGCUCAACCCUGGGUCGCACUGGAAACUGUGUAGCUUGAGUACAGAAGAGGAAAGUGGAAUUCCACGUGUAGCGGUGAAAUGCGUAGAGAUGUGGAGGAACACCAGUGGCGAAGGCGACUUUCUGGGCUGUAACUGACGCUGAGGCGCGAAAGCGUGGGGA
rnacentral:rRNA from 1 species